CACGAAGCCGUAUGAGCUAAUUUCGUUAUUACAUAUGUGGCAUAAUAUUUACUGGAAAACUGAAUUAGGGGUGAGAGGCCCUCAAAAACGGUGAUAUCUUGACGUAAAUGAAAAAAAUUUAGUUUUAAGGUAAUUACAAAGUUAUAAGAUUUUGUAAAAAUUUUAAUUUAUAUUAGUGUAUAAUAUGGGUAUAAAAGCCUGUACUUUGAAAAUAAUAAUAUAAGGUUAUAAUGCUUAUUUCUAUUAGUUUACGGUCGAUAACUUUUAAAAGAAUCAUUAUGUUAGUAUAAGUACCUAUGAAGCAUUAAUAGUGAACUCGGCAAUAAAGCUUUCAACUGUUUAUCAAAAACAUAGCCACAUGAUGCACAUGUGGUGUAUUCUGCUCAAUGAUAUUUAAAUAGCCGCAGUACCCUGACUGUGCAAAGGUAGCGUAAUCAUUUGUCUUUUAAUUGGAGUCGUGUAUGAAUGAAUAAAUGGGGGCUUACUAUACCAUUAGUGUGAAUUGAAGUUACUUAAAAGGUGCAAAAACCUUUACAUAAAUAAUAGACGAGAAGACCCUAGAAAUUUGUAUGGUAGUUUUGUUGGGGCAACAUAAUAGAUAAACCUAUUAAAUGUACAUGAAAUUGGUUUGAUUGAGAAAAUUACUCUAGGGAUAACAGCAUAAUUCUGUGAGAGUUUGUGACCUCGAUGUUGGAUUAGGGAACUAUAGCUUAAAA
rnacentral:rRNA from 1 species